rnacentral:rRNA from 1 species
GGUGAACGCUGGCGGCGUGCUUAAGACAUGCAAGUCGAACGGCAGUCUUCGGACUGUAGUGGCGCACGGGUGAGUAACGCGUAACUGACCUACCCCAAAGUCGCGGAUAACGAUCCGAAAGAAUCGCUAAUACGUGAUGUGCUGUCAGAUUGUGUUCAGCCAGUAAAGAUUGAUUGCUUUGGGAUGGGGUUGCGUUCCAUCAGCUAGUUGGUGGGGUAAAGGCCCACCAAGGCGACGACGGAUAGCCGGCCUGAGAGGGUGGCCGGCCACAGGGGCACUGAGACACGGGUCCCACUCCUACGGGAGGCAGCAGUUAGGAAUCUUCCACAAUGGGCGAAAGCCUGAUGGAGCGACGCCGCGUGAGGGAUGAAGGUCUUCGGAUCGUAAACCUCUGAGUCAGGGACGAAAGACACUUCGGUGGGAUGACGGUACCUGAGUAAUAGCACCGGCUAACUCCGUGCCAGCCGCCGCGGUAACAC